rnacentral:rRNA from 3 species
CAGCAGCCGCGGUAAUUCCAGCUCCAAUAGCGUAUUGUAAAGUUGUUGCAGUUAAAAAGCUCGUAGUUGGAUUUCGGGCUCGACGACGACGGUCAGCCGCAAGGUAUGUUACUGUCGGCGUUGGCCUUCUUCGCGCAGACUUCGCGUGCUCUUAACUGAGUGUGCGUUGGAUACGCGACGUUUACUUUGAAAAAAUUAGAGUGUUCAAAGCAGGCUUUUGCUUGGAUACAUAAGCAUGGAAUAAUGGAAUAGGACUUUGGUUCUAUUUUCCGUUGGUUUCUGGAACCGAAGUAAUGAUUAAUAGGGACAGUUGGGGGCAUUCGUAUUUCGUUGUCAGAGGUGAAAUUCUUGGAUUUACGAAAGACGAACUAAUGCGAAAGCAUUUGCCAAGAAUGUUUUCAUUAAUCAAGAACGAAAGUUAGAGGAUCGAAGACGAUCAGAUACCGUCCUAGUUCUAACCAUAAACGAUGCCGACUAGGGAUCAGCGAGUGUUAUUUGAUGACUUCGUUGGCACCUUAUGGGAAACCAAAGUUUUUGGGUUCCGGGGGAAGUAUGGUUGCAAAGCUGAAACUUAAAGGAAUUGACGGAAGGGCACCACCAGGAGUGGAGCCUGCGGCUUAAUUUGACUCAACACGGG